AAGUUGUUUAGGGACAGUUCUUCUCCGGGACUGCCCACUGGAGUCGAGUGCCCUUACAGGGAGCGAGCACCAGGCUGAGUUAACUCUGGGAAAGCUCAAAGUCAGGCUCAGCCCUCCAACUCCCAACUCCCCCGAGUUUGGCCUCCGAGAUUUGUAUUCCACCUCGCCACACUGCAGCCCGUCCCCUCCCCCCUCCGCGUUCACCUAUCGCCUUAUGAAAUCUCACCCCUGUUUAUCAGGGUCUGGAGCGCCCUUUGCACUUUUACGUUUCACUUAAUUAUUUCGGACUUGAUCUUGGCUGGGAACAAGGGGGAAAAACCAGCUCCUCUCCAAGGGUUAAAUUUUAAACCGCGGUUUCUCGGACAGUCCCGGAAACCCAGAGCAGAGGUGGGGGGUGCGGGGGAGACCGCUUUUCUCCCACCCUCACUGCACAUGCUAAUAACGAGUUCAGUUUUAUAGAUUGAUUCUGCUAAAGCUUAUGUAUAAAAAAGAAGAAAGGAAAGGAAAAGAAGAGGGAAGAAACCAACAAUCCUGUUUCUAAGAUUUUAAAGUGAUAGGCAAAUCGGAGAAGCCGAGAUUUAUUUGCGGGAAAGCGAGAGUGUGUGAAGCCGACCCAGCAUUAGGAAGACCAGCCCGCCCACUUGGAAGUGGAGACUGUUGAUGCCUCCAAUUAAUGAAAAUGCAUUUGGUGUUAAUCGUAUUUAUUUUACUUUAGGGGAGGGGGAUACGCUAGGAGGGUGCAUUAAAAAAAAAAAAAAUCUGAAAAGCCUGCAAAAGGAUGGAAGAGUGAAAACUAUUGUUGGACCGAGUUGGUUUUUACCUCAACAGCGCCACCUUUCGGCAAAGCAAUUCACAGUUGUAAGUUAAAGCCGCUCUCUCUUUGAAGACACAUCUUUUAUAAUUUUUAUUAGAGGUAAUUUAUUAUUUGCAUUACCUGUGUUUACUUCAUAAUUGAACAUUUUGCAUUCAAAUUUAUGUAAUGCAUUAUGCUUGAGAAUAUAUUUCUGCCUGAUUAGCAUAAAUAGUCACUUACCUCAUGAAUUACUAACAAAGUUUAUCUUAAAAUAUAGGUUUUUUUUAUUAAGUGGAACACAAACAUAUGUACAAUAAAUUCUGAUUUUCCGGUGCAUUAGAGAACAACUCUCAUUCAGUUAGGGGGAAGCGAGGGGAGGAAGCAAAAUACACAGAAAUGAAAUUUGUAGGUUUCUUUCCAAGGGCAUCAUUUAGACAGGGGUACAUAGGGUGGGGUGGGGGGAAAGGGUUGGGCUUUUCAUAUGCUGUAUUGGAUUAUUCACAUCUCAAAGUGUGAAUUCUGGAAAGUCCUGUUAUUAGUGAUUUCUACCUUUGCCGACAACCAUGGUAGCAAACCAGUGACAGAGUUUGAGGGUUCUGCUUAUUUUUAUUUUUAAUGUGUUUGUUUACUUGUUUUUGUCUCUGCAGGGUUCUUCCUUAGAACAUAACACACACUGUUUAAUGAAAUGCUUGCCCGUUUGGCCCCACAGAUGCAGAAAAGCCAGAUGUUUUCUCCAGUGGGAAUUCCUGGGAAGGUGUGGUGGUCCUUUUCCCCACUGUCAUCCCAGAAAGACACCCAACAUGGCCUGGCAGACAGGCAGUGAUUAACAAAUAGUUUUGUACACACAUGAACAAUGGAAGGAGAGGACUUCUUUUGGUCUUAGGCAGUAGAGAGAGAUACAAGAAGAUGGGCCUUAUUUCCCCAGACUUGCUGUUCCAAAUCACCAGAUUUCUAAGUUUCUUUUUUUUUUUUUUUUUCUUUCUUCUCUCUUUCUUUUUUCUGGGCAUAUCCAUCUCCUUAAAUUUUUCUUUUCCUUCAGUUAGGGGUUGCUUAGGAUGCGACCUUUCCUUAGCAUCCCUUUUGAUCCUACUCACAGCUUAUACUGGUGAGGGAGUUUGUCUCAAAAGCAUUCAACCCUUGGAGAUUUUUAUUGUGGUGAAUGCAGAACUGAUUAAAAAAAAAAAGAAAGAAAGAAAGAGAAAAAGAGAUCUGAUAUUGGAGCAAUCGUUAUGUGUCUUUUAUGCACGGUAACUCAGAGGACAGGCUCCUGGGUAAUGCUAGCUUCCCAACCCUGGUGAUGGGGUGAUUCAUGGCUCCUGUUCCAAAGGCAUUUAGCAGCCAUUUGACCUGGGAAGGAAAUGGAGUUCUAGAAAAUACAGAUCAAAAUCAAAUACUCCUGAGAGUCUCAGAAUGAGUAGGUUGAUGCAGAGGAUUUCUGAACGUGUGUGUUUCUGAAUUUGUCUGGCUGGGGCCUGCCAGCCAGAAAGGGGUCCCCUGUGGCCCUGUUUGAUACCUUAGUUCUCGGUUGCAUCGUGGGUGCUGUGGUGCGUCCCCACACAUUGUUCUCUGCACUAAAAACACCCAUUGUACACAGCGACGUCCUCACCGCAUCAGCCCUCACGACAGAGUGUUCCUGAUCUGAUGAAGAAUGAGAAAUUGGGCUAACUACCCCCCCCCCAAAAAAUUAAAAUUAAAGUAAAAUGUAUAGGCUUCUGCUAAGAUUUUAUAUUUAGUAAUUUUAUGAUGGUGAUGCAUGCUCCUUGUUAAAUAUAGAUAUGUGGACAAGACAGAAAUAGGAUAACAAUGUAAAGGAUUACUAGUCCUCACCUUCACCCCAGACCCCGCAUCUUGGUCUCAUGUGUUACCACCUGUAAUAACUGGGCUGUGUGGACACUUUUUGCAGAAUGGCGUGCACAUAGUUCUUUAACUUGAGCUCCUUUUGCAUGCACAUAGUUCUUUAACUUGAGCUCCCUUUAAAACACAUCCGCCUCGUAACAAGAGAAAACGAGGUUUUGCGUACUUCUCUCUUCUUUGGCAGAAUUCACCUAAGGGAAGCUCAGAUUGAGAGGAGAGAUCUGACCUUCACAUCUUGCUUUUAACCGACGCACAGAUCUGGAUCCACUUUACAACACCCUGGCAGCUCGGUGCCAGCUGCAGAUGAAAUUGAUGUGCUUUUUAUAUGACUUACCCGCUCUGAACCGGGCCCCUCAUCUGCCAAUAUGGUAUUGUCAGGACUGGAGACGGUGCCUGUGAAGCCCCAGAGGAACUCCCUAAGUGGCAGGUGCUCUUCUGAAUUUCCUUCUGUGCCCCCGAGUUGUUGAUAACAACAUUGGAAAGGACCCAGCCCUGUGGCUUCUGGGGGAGACUGUCCCACCGAACUCCCAAUGAUUAUGCAGAGCACCCCACCGGAUCAUUUGAGUGCUAGUGGGCAAUUUAAACUGACUCAGUCUAUUUGGUAAUUGGAGUAAUUUUAAACUAAAUGACCCCAUCUGGAUGUCCUAUACAUACCCUUCUAAUCGAUUCUAAAAUAACUUCGCUUUUUUGAUGGUGUAGGCAAAGCUCUCUGUUGGAGAAGAUAGAUUACUAGGUAAUUGUUUCACAUUUCACACCUGCCUUUGUCUUUGUAAACCUUUGCCCUGUCAAAACACAAAGCAGUUGUCCAAAGUUGGGACCUUGGAGACUAAUAAAAAAUAGAUGUAACCCAGAAA